ACAGCUAAGUGCCCUCUCAGACUAGAAACACAAGGCAGGCACACCUGUCUGCCCUCCUUAUUUAAAACAUAAAUCACUCAGAACACAAGUAAAACUUCUUAACAGGAAAUGGCACAUGCCUGAUCUGCAUGUUGUUCUUUCUUCUACUCAAUACCAAACUUCUUCAUCAGCAUCAGAACGAAAUCAUAGACCUUUUGUGGAUCUUCAAGGGCCUUGGAUACAGUCUCUUUCUGCAAGCACCUCUUACAGUAAGCAAUCAUCUUCGGACACUCGGCCUCUAUGUUGAAGUUUCCGAUGGUCUCAUAG
rnacentral:lncRNA from 1 species